rnacentral:rRNA from 1 species
GACGAACGCUGGCGGCGUGCUUAACACAUGCAAGUCGAACGGAAAGGCCUCUUUCGGGGGGUACUCGAGUGGCGAACGGGUGAGUAAUACGUGAGUACCUUGCCCUUGAUUUUGGGAUAACCUCGGGAAACCGGGGUAAUUCCCGGUAAGGAGUUCCUGUUGCAUGGUGGGGGCGGGAAGCUUCGGGCGGUUGGGGCUGGCCUUGCGGGUUAUCCGCUUGUGUGUGGGGUAGUGGUUUCCCAAGGCGUUGACGGGUAGCCGGCCUGAGAGGGUGAGCGGCGACAUUGAGACUGAGGGGCGGCAGAGACUCGGACGGGAGGCAGCAGGGGGGAAUAUUGCACAAUGGGUGGAGGCCGGAGGCAGCAGCGCCGUGGGCGGGAUGACGGCCUUCGGGGUGUAGACCGCUUUCGCUCAUAACGAAGGUGUGUAUGACGGUAGUGGAUAAAGAAGCACCGGCUAACUACGUG